GAUUCCCCGGCGUGGGGCCAGUGGGCCACCCGCCAGGGCAGGUGGCGAUGUCUGAGCAGAAAGGGAUUCCGUUAAUAAUUUCGCUCAGGGGCGCGAGGGAGCGGCUGAACAAUCAGUUGAGGCGGCUCAGCAAGGCCCUCACCCCAGGAGGCGCCGUUCAGGCCUCCAUCCGCUGGCAUUCGCUGGAGCGGGGCUGCAAGAGGGCGCAGGUGCAGCGAGAGAAAGUGAAAAUGUGGGUGCCCUGGAACGGGCUAAUCGUGAUUGGAAAGAGGGUGGAGCUUCUGGGCAGAAAGACGCAAAAGCCUAGAACGUGGGACCCGAGGGUUGGUCCUGAGAACUUGCGACCAGAAAGUGUGGGAAAGACCGUCUUGAAAGAGAAGGCAGGCCUGAGUCAGGAAGGGACUGGCAGUAGUACAGCAGAUGCACUGCAGGAUUCUGCAAGAGAGAUUUGGGGAAAACAAGACGUCAAACGCAAAAUUGGAGCUGAAUCUAACGCUUCAGGGAUGACCGCAGAGCCUAGGAAGGGGGGUGGUCUCUGUCUGAAGAGAUGCCCACGUCUACUGGGAAUAACGUGGGGACCAGUGGAGACGACUUGAGAUCCAGAGAAUAUCAAUUGCAGCAGAACGAGGGGCAGAAGUUGAGUGGAGAGAAGCGGGAGUCCAGGGGAGAGAAACGGGGGUCCACUGUAGAGAAGCGGGGGUCCACUGCAGAGAAGCGGGGGUCCACUGCAGAGAAACGGGGGUCCAUUGCAGAGAAGCCAGUGUACAGCGGAGAGAAGCGGGGGUCCAAUGGAGAGAACCCAGUGUACAGGAGAGAGAAGCGGGGGUCCAGUGGAGAGAAGAUGAGGUUGAGUAGAGAGAAACUAAGGUCCAGUGAAGAGAAACCAAGGACUGAUAGAGAGGAUUCGAGAUCCAUUGGAGAUAAAGCGGGGUCAAGUGAAGAGAAACUGGAAUCUAAUGGAGAAAAACUGAGCAGAAGUGAAGAGAACAUUGAAAGAGUGAUAGAAAUUACUGGUGAUGAAAGAGGGAUAGAAUUUACAGAUGAGGAGAUGGAAAUUCCUUCUGAAAGUACAAAAAUGAGAGAUGAAGAACUAGAAGGGAUUGAGGAAGGAAUAGAAAUUGAUGAGGAUAGCCUUCAUGAAGUGAAAGAUAUUACUGGUGAAUUCGUUUCUAUGGAAGAGAAAAAUAUUACAGGGGAAGGUCCCAGUGGAUGAGGCAGAUGAAGGAUUGCAGCUAAAGAAGGAGAUAUCCAGGUAGGGGAACUAUUGAAAGUCAAAGAGGAGACAUUAGAGUCAUUAUUAGAGACAUUAUUGAUCUUGAAGGGGUAAAGAAGAGUCUAGAAAGAAGGAUGUGGGAAUGGAGCAGAGCUACUGGGCAUGAAGGCAGAGCCAGUACCAGUGGAAGGGGAAAAAAAAUAGUGGUAAAGAGGAAAAUAAGAACAUUCUGAGGAGAAAGAAUAGAUUUGGUAAUGUUAGAAGAAAAUUGGAUUUGGGGUUCUUAAAUAGCUCUUUGAGAAGUGGCUUUAGGAUGGGCUAGAAGGAUUUCAUCUGACACAUAAUUAGGGAGACAAUAUGCAGGCAUGGCCUGAUGAGAAGAAUUACAACAGGAUAAAGGAUAGAUAUCGAGGGCUGUGGAAGAAGCAGCAGGCCUGGAGUAAGCAAAAUGAAAAUGGAUCCUGAAGAAUGAGUGGCUCCAAAGUUACAAAAGCAAGUGAAGAGGAGAUGAGCAAAUGAAGGGGAAAAAACUCAAAAAGUAAGACGCCAUAUUCCAUAAUGAUGAUUAUGUUUGUUGGUUUUAAAUUUACUUCCUUCACUAUUUCUGUACUGGCCACUCCCAUGAAGCCAGUUUUACCAUCUACUGUGACAGGCCUCUUGCAGGGUCCUAUACACAUCUGGAUCAAAUUCAUCCUUAUGGAUCUUCUAAAUAGCACCAGAGUUGUACCCAGAAUAAUUGCUGGGCUGCACUGUUUAACCUACUUUAGCAGGGCCAGUAUGUCACAGGGUACCCCAACCUCCACCCCAAAUUUGAAUUACCCAUGCUUGAGAUGGGGUUAGUUCAAUUAUUUGUACCUGCUCUUUCUUUCUUCCUUCCUUCCUUCCUUUCUUUCUUUCUUUCUUCCUUCCUUCCUUUCUUUCUUUUUCUUUCUUUCUUUCAUGUGCCAUUGUGUCCAGCAGAAUAUUUAGUUUUUUUUAAUAUUUAUUUUUUACAACCUGUACACUCAGAAAAAUGAGAAAUUAUAUCCCAUCUGAUUCAAAUGUAUGAUAUGUCAAGAUCAUUGUACUGUCAUGUGUAACUAAUUAAAACAAAUUAAAAAAUGCAAAAACAAUAUUUUUUAAUUGUAGUUGGACACAAUACACUUAUUUUAUUUAUUUAUUUUUAUGUAGUGCUGAGGAUCGAACCCAGUGCCUCACACAUGCUAGGCGAGCGUUCUACUGCUGAGCCAUAACCCUAGUCCCCUGCUUUUUGUUUCUGUCUUUGACAUCUUAUUUAUUUAUUUAGUUAGUUAGUUAGUUUUAGUUAGGUGGGCACAAUAUCUUUUUUUUUUUUAAUAUUUAUUUUUUAGUUUUCGGCGGACACAACAUCUUUGUUUGUAUGUGGUGCAGAGGAUCGAACCCGGGCCGCACGCAUGCCAGGCGAGCGCGCUACCGCUUGAGCCACAUCCCCAGCCCCCAAUAUCUUUUGAUUUUUUAUUUUUAUGUGGUGUUGAGGAUUGAACCCAGCUCCCCGCGCAUGCCAGGCGAGUGCAUUACCGCUUAAGCCACAUCCCCAGCCUUUUGACUUCUUUUUUAAUAUUUAUUUUUUAGUUGUAAUUGGACACAAUACCUUUAUUUAUUUUUAUGUAGUGCUGAGAAUCGAACCCAGAGCCUCACACGUGCUAGGCAAGCACUCUACCGUUGAGCUAAAACCCCAGCCCCUAUCUUUGAUUUUUUUUAAAAAUAUUUUUUUAGUUGUCAACGGACCUUUAUUAUUUUUCUUUAUUUAUAUGCAGUGCUGAGAAUCGAACCCAGUGCCUCACACACGCUAGGCAAGCGCUCUACCACUGAGCCAUAACCCUAGCCCAUUGAUCUUGACUUUUAAUUAUUUAUCUAAUCACAUGAGGUUUUCCACAGCUCCCCUGUAUCUCAUUAAGGGUCUUCUUUUUAUGUUAUACACUCUCUACUCUUAUCCCAAGGAGGAGAGAAGGUCCCCUGAGUGUCUAAUGUGAAGACUUCCAUGUUAAGUCCAAGUCUUAACUUGGUCUGUUGGAUUGUUUGUCUCUUGGGCAAGAAUGUAAGAGGUGGCUAAAAGCAGAAAUAGGAUGAAAGAAACACUUACCAUUUUUAUCCUCUGUGUACUUUUAAAAGUCUGCCAAAUUUCUGAGUAGAAACUUUAUCCUAACACAAAUAUCAUAACACAAACAUAUAAUAGCUGGUGUUAUUGAUUAUAUUUUCUGCAUACUCUUGGGUAAUUUGUCCCAAAGACUCCAGAAGAUCAUUAAACCCCUUGCCAUAUUUUUGUUCAUGUAGUCUAAUCUAACAGAAAAUCAAUGGUCCUUGUUUCCCCCUCUCUCCUCUUCUUCCUCCUCUUCUUCCUUUCUCUCUCAUCUCUCCCUGCCCCCCUCCUUUCUUUCCUUCCUUCCUUCUUCCUUCCAUCCUUCAAAAUGUUUAAAUUAAAAUGCUUAUUUUACUCCCUUAUUCUUAGUCAACUGCAUCAUCUAAUGGCUUCCAAAAAAGGGACCAUGGGAGGUAAACUUUGUGAUAACUGAAUCUGUCUGAAAGUAUUAUUCUUUUCUCAUAUUUGAUUAAUAGUUUAGCUAGGUAUAGAUUCUAGGUUAGGAAUAUUUUUCCCAUAGAAUUUUAACUUCUAACACUAUCUUCUAACUCCAAAUGUUGCCAUUCAAGAUGUUGUUCAAGAUGUUCAAGAUGUUGCUGUUCUUUUUUUUAAGGUACUGGGGGUUGAAACUAGGGGUGCAUUACCACUGAUCUACAUCCUUAGGUCUUUAAAAAAAUUUUUUUUUUUUAAAUUUUAAGACAGAGUCUUGCUAAGUUGUUGAGGGCCUUGCUAAUUUGCUGAGGCUGGCCUUGAGCCUUGGCCUUGAGAUCCUUCUGACAGCCUCCUGAGUCACUGGGAUUACAGGCAUGUGGCAUUGCAUCUGGGUGUUCUUUUAUUUUGACUGUAAGGAUAUAUUUUUCUUUCCCAUGAAAAUUACCUGUUUUCAGGGCUGGGAAUGUGGCUCAAGCGGUAGCGCGCUCGCCUGGCAUGCGUGCGGCCCGGGUUCGAUCCUCAGCACCACAUACAAACAAAGAUGUGUGUCCGCCGAUAACUAAAAAAUAAAUAUUAAAAAUUCUCUCUCUCUCUCUCUCCCUCCCUCUCUCACUCUCUCUUUAAAAAAAAAAAUUACCUGUUUUCUGUCACUUCAUGGCUAAACCUAUAUACUCAUCCCUGCUGCGUUCCUCGACACUAAAACACUCAGGAUCACUCCAGGGGAACUGGGCUGCAUGAAAUAACCACACAAGAGACAGAGAUACCUUUUUCUUUAGGGGUCCUGUGACGGCUCCUCUGACCUUAAGGGUCCACAGAAAGAGAGAGAGAGAGAGAGAGCCAACACAUGCUGACCCUUUUAUUGAGAAGAAGCCAUUCAAAUGAGGCCAGGGGUCAGGUUUCAGGGGGCUGAGUCUAACUUCAUGAUGUCUGCUGUCAGCAGGUUGACUGACAUCUAGGAAGGCCACACCCAAAGGCAGAACAAGAGAAGGGGACACACAAAGGGUAUUUCCAUGGAACAUUCUAUCCCAAACAGGGCAAGGGAGUAAUAUCACAAAGGGACACCCCUGGGGUUGCAGGAAGGCACGCCUAUGCAUGAAGACACAUUCUGCUAUUUCGAGGAUCGGGGGGCAGUGUCUGGGGCCACUAUGAAUGUGGCCAGAUCACUAUGAAAAUGACCCACAGAGCCUCCACUGAUCACGAGAAGAAAUGCUGGUCACUCAGCGCGACGGCCCUCCCACAUCCCAUUUUCUGUUGAUGUUGGAACUUGAAUUAUGCAUCUUAUCCUUUUAUCUUUCUUUUUGUUCUACUCUUUGGUCAAGCUCAUUAACCUUACCCUUUCUAUUGAAUUUUUGAAUUUUAUUUUUUUUUAUAUUUAUUUUUUAGUUAUAGGUGGACACAAUAUCUUUAUUUCAUUUUUAUGUGGUGCUGAGGAACGAACCCAGUACCUCAUGCAUGGUAGGCGAGUGCUCUACCUCUGAGCCACAACCCCAGCCCCAUGAGUUUUUGAAUUUUAAUGUUUAAAUUUUAAAUUGUUGUCACUGUUUCUAUUGUGUGUGUGAGAGAGAGAGUGUGUGUGUGUGUAUAGCAUUGUCCUCUUGUUUUGUGUACAUAUUCUCUUAGCUCUCUUAGGGAGAGGAAGGGAGAAAAAAAUGAAUUGAUAGAGUCUGUUAGGUUUCACUACAUGAACUAUAUUUUUUCUGUUUUUUUUUCUGUUUUUCACACUGUUUCCCCUGAUUUUGCCUCCCCUUUUUUUUCUUUUGAAGUGUAUGUAUGCUGUUGGAGAUUUUCUUCAACAGCUUGCUUUUCAUAUUUGAUACUGAGACAUUAAGCAGAGCUAAUUGGAAACUAUUCACAUAGAUGGGGCAUGUCGAUUGAUGGGCUUCACCCUAUUGUGGGUGACUGGGACAAGCAGAAUUUUUUUCUGGGUACCCCCAAGUGUCAGAAUGUGUAGAUCAUAUUGUAGGGACUAUUUGGUUUCUCCAGAGAAUUUUCCAGUUACCUGCAUGGGGGAAUACUUAUGGGGCCACAAUGUUGAGAUUGUAGCAAUAGGGAAGGGGGUAUAGGGCUGUAGAUGUAGAUGUAGUAAGAUAUAUACAUUUUAUCGCAGUUUUUAUGUUUUCAGCUCAAUGGUAAAAAAAAGUUGGGGAGGGGAUUUGUGAAUUUAAUUGUUUUUUUGGUACUGGGAAUUGAAUCCAGGUCACUUAAUCACUGAGCCAUAUCCCCAUCCCUUUUUAUUUUUUAUUUUGAGACAGGAUCUCACUUAAUUGCUGAGGCUGGCCUUGAACUUUUGAUCCUCCUGCCUCAGCCUCCCGAGAUGCUGGGAUUACAGGCAUGUACCACUGCGCCCACAUUUAAUUGCUUUAUGUACAGACUUCUAAACAGUUUUUCUGCUUCCAGCUCAUUGUCCUUGUUCUAUCAGAGGUGUCUGGUCUCUCCAGGUCCUGAACAUUGGUGAAAGAUGACUGUUAUAUUUUUUGCAUACAUUCUCCUCUUUAGGCAUUUGAGUGUGUGUGUGUGUGUGUGUGUGUGUGUGUGUGUGUGUGUUGCUGGGGAUUGAACCCAGAGUCUUGUGCAUGCAAGGCAAGCACUCUACCAACUAAGCCAUAUCCCCAGGCUCUCUUUAGGCAUUGGAGUCUUCUACUGGGCUAUUAGUUCCAUUCCAUCUUCCAAAGCUGGUUGACAUCUCUAAUCCACCUCAUUGUUUUGUGGGUUUAUAACAUUUUUCUUUCUUUUUUUUUAAUAUUUAGUUUUUAGUUGUAGUUGGACACAAUACCUUUAGUUUGUUUAUUUAUUUUUAUGUGGUGCUAAGGAUCAAACCCAGGGUCUCGCACGUGCGAGGCGAGUGCUCUACCGCUGAGCCACAACCCCAGCCUCAUUUUUAUUUCUUUAUUUUCAUCUAACUGGGGUUUAGAGAUAAAUACAUGAAUGUAUUCAGUCUGCCACAUUGCAGAACCUUGCUUUUCCUCUUAAUGAUUUUUCCUAUGUGAGAAUAGUUAACAUAGUAAACAAGUCACUGUACUAUUGUGUCAGGGUCUCAUUAAGUUAUGUAGUGCCUCACUAAAUUGCUGAGGCUGGCUUUGAACUUGUGAUCCUUCUGCCUCAACCUCCUGAUCUGCUGGGAUAACAGGUGUGAGGAACCAUGCCUGGUUGUUAUUGUUUUUUGAGACUGGGUCUCACUUUGUAGCCCAAUCUGGCCUCCAAUACCCACACUUGAGAAAUCUUCUACCUCAGUCUCCCCAAUAGCUGGAACUACAGGCAUACCACCUUUUGAAUGUUUUCAUUUAGAUGGAAAAAUAAAAAGAUUAAAACAAUGAAGCUGGGAGCAAUGACACAUGCCUAUAAUCCCAGUGGCUCAGGAGGCUGAUGCAGGAGAAUCACAAGUUUGAGACCAGCCUCAGCAACCUAGUGAUACCCUGUCUCAAAAUAAAAAAUAAAAAUGGUUGGGGAUGUGGCUCAAUGGUAAAGUACCCCUGGGCUCAAUCCCCAGUACCACAAACAAAAAAUUGCUUUUGUUGGCUCAGGAUAUACUCAAGGGUUUACUAGUUGGAUGAGAUUGUUAACAUUUAUUUAUUUAGGAGCUGGGAUGGAACCCAGGGCCUUGCAUAUAUGCUAAACACACUCCACCAUGGAGGUACCCUCAGCUCCUGUUAACUCUUUUAAUCUACACAAGUCUACCUCUUGUCAUGUUUUUAACAGUUUGACUUUUUUCAGGAAUCCAGGCAUUUUUUUCUCUCUCUCUCUUUGGUUCCAGGGAUUGAGUAUGUCCAGGGCUUGUAUGUAACAAGGUAAAUGCUCUACCACUGAACUAUACCAUCCAGGUCCCCUCCCUUUAAAAAAAAAAUUGUAUAGGGUCUCCCUAGGUUGCCCAGGCUGACCUUGAACUUGAGAUCUUCCUGUCUCAGCCUCCUGAAACGCUGGGGUUACAGGCACGCAGCCUCAUGCCCAGCCCAGGCCAGUUCCACCUUCUGGAUUUAUCUGAGUGGGUUCUGAGGAUGGCAGGUGGUUCCAUCUUCUACCUGCUGCAAUUCCUGUAGUUUUUCAACUGAAAGUUGGAGUUCAGGAUCCUCAUUUUUCUUUCUCUGUCACUUUCCUCUUUGAUUCAGUUUCCUCCUGUAGUUGUUUGUUACUAUAAAGUAAAUUCCAUGGAGCAGCAGCAAGUGUCUGUGGGGACCUGUUCUGGCCUGCUGAAUGAACAGCACAUAGUAGGCACUCAGGAUGUAUUUGUGGAAUGAAUGAAUCCUUCACAUUCAGUGGCUUUAGUAGUCUUAGUAUCAUUUAACAUCUAUUGAAAAAAAAUCACUGUAAUAAUUUACCCUGUUUCUGAGAAUGCCUCUUGUUUUCAAAGGCCUCAAAGUCUGAAAAUGUCUUUAUUCCACACUUGAACUUGAGGUUUGUCCAGGCCCAGGAUUUGCUCUCUACUAUGUGGCAGACUGAAGGCGCUCUUUGUUUCCUUCCUUCCAGUGCAGCCACUGGAGUCCAGAUCUAUUUUUAUGCCGGAACCAGUUGCAGGGCUGGCCUUUAUGUGGAUGUGGCCUCUUUUUUUCUCUCUAUCUCCACUCUUUCUGCCUUUUCCUUGGUGAGAAGUUGAAUGCUUUCUCCUUCUUCAGUUCCCAUAGAUGGACAAUAGAGAUACUAAGAAUAUAUGAAGUUGUAAAGAUAAACUCCAUAUAGCUCAAGCCUAGUAGCAGAAUUAAAAAAAUUUUUUUUUUUUUAGUAGAUGGACAAAAUAUCUUUAUUUUAUUUUUUAUUUAUAUGUGGUGCUGAGGAUCGAACCCAGUGCCUCACACUUGCUAGGCAAGCGCUCUACCACUGAGCCACGACCCCAGCCCAGGAUCUUUUUGAUGAAUGAUAAUAAAAGCUAAUAUUUCCUAAACUCUUGUCAUAAUCAGAGUAUUUAAUAGGUACCAUGAUAGAACACUUUACCUGUUCUUUAUCAUUUAAUCUUUCCUACAGCUUUUUGCAGUAAGAACCAUUAGUCUGGGGCUGGGGUUCUGGCUCAUUGGUAGAGCGCUUGCCUAGCAUGUGUGAGGCCCUGGGUUUGAGCCUUAGCACUCCAUAAAAAAUAAAUAUAUAAAAUAAAGGUAUUAUGUCCAACUACAACUAAAAAAUAAAUAUUAAGAAAAAAAGAACCAUUAUCUAUCAAGCGCACCAACUAGAAACUGCAAGAGCCAGGCCAUCCCAGAGAGCCUCACCCCAGAGCACCCGAAAAGCUCUCUGUUGAACUGCUGCCCCCAUUCCUUCUAGACCAACCCCAGAAAUCAGUUUCCCAGGCUGCCAAAGCAAGCUCUGCUGUGCUGCUUGGGGGAAGAGGGGGAGAUGAGGUUGAGUCACAACCUUCCAUUCAUUUGGUGAAUGCUUUGUGGCAAGUUUUUAAGAAUACAAAUUCUAAAACAAUUAUGUUUAUUUUCUUCCCCAGGUCUGUGCCUCCCAGAGAGGAUGGCUUCCAGCCUCCUUUCUUGACUCUUCAGCUGAGGAAUUAUUCUCUCUCAUAAGAGGCUUGCAUGGACACAAGGGCAAGGUUCAGGCAGUUCCCCGUGUGUGAAAACCUCUCAGACUGGCACGUUGUAUAAAUUAUGACCCAAAUCAUCAGAUUUCUGUUCUUUGUCUGAAUGACAUUUUCACCUGGGAAAUCAUGCAUUCCAUGGAGGCCACAGAAAGACAAGUGAAUGUCAAGGCUCUGUGACAAAUGCCAGCCACCUGUAAGUGCAUAUUUUCAACUAUCUAGGUAGUUAGAGUUUUAAAUAUAACAUCUUUUUAUGCUAAAAUGAACCAAAAUGCACACAUUCCAGGGAACUUAAGGCUUUUUUUUUUUUUUUGGUGCUAGGGAUUGAACUCAGGGGUACUCAAUCACUGAGCCACAUCCUCAGCCCUAUUUUGUAUUUUAUUUAGAGACAGGGUCUCACUGAGUUGUUUAGCGCCUUGCCUUUGCUGAGGUGGGCUUUGAAUUUUCAACCCUCCUGCCUUAACCUCCUGAGCCACUGGGAUUACAGGCAUGUGCCACUAUGCUUGGCAAGUUGAGGGCUUUCAAUUGAUUUCUUUGGCUGGGUGUUGGGGAGUACUGGGUAUAGAACCCAGGGGCAUUUUACCACUGAGCUAUAUCCCCAGCCCUUUUUUAUUUUUGUUUUUGUUUUGAGACAGAAUCUCACUAAACUGCCCAGGAUGGCCUUGAACUUUUGAUCCCCUGCCUUAGCCUCCAGAGUUCUUGCUGGGAUUACAGGCGAGUAUUGCAGCACCUGCUCUUUUAAGUGAUUUUUAUGGGCCUUUUUUUUUUUUUUUUGUAUUCUUUCUUUCUUUAAAAUAUUUAUUUAUUUAUUUUAGUUGUAGUUGGACACAAUACCUUUAUUUUUUUAAUAUAUAUUUAUUUAUUUAUUUUUUAGUUUUCGGCGGACACAACAUCUUUGUUUAUAUGUGGUGCUGAAGAUCGAACCCUGGGCCACACGCAUGCCAGGCGAGCGCGCUACCGCUUGAGCCACAUCCCCAGUCCUAUUUUAUUUAUUUUUAUGUGGUGCUAAGGAUCAAACCCAGGGCCUUACACACACUAGGCGAGUGCUCUACCACUGAGCCACAACCUCAGCCCCUCCUAUUCUUUGUGGCAAGUAUAUUCCCAAAGAUCCCAAUUUCUUGCAACAGGAUAUAUUAAAAGUGAUGUUAUCUUUGACCUUGUUACAAUGCCUUUAUUAAUUUAUUUAGCAAACACCAAGAACUUAACUGUGUGCCAGCUAGAAAUUUUUUUAAAAAAUGUGUAAGGCAGCUGGGUUCACUGUCACACACCUGUAAUGUCUCAGCAAAUUGGAGGGCUGAGGCAAGAGGAUCAUGAGUUCAAAGCCAGCCUCAGCAGUUUAGUGAGGCCCUAAGUACCUCAGCAAGACCCUGUCUCUAAAUAAAAUAUAAAAAAGGACUAGAUAUGUGGCUCAGUGGUUAAGCACCCCUGGGUUUAAUCCCUGGUACAAAAAAAAAAGAAAGAAAGGCCAGGUUCUUGUCCUUGUUCUCCUAUUUUUUUUUCCUGGUGCUGAGGAUUGAACCCAGGGCUUUGUGCAUGUGAGACAAGCACUCUACCAACUGAGCUGUAUCCCCAGCCCCUACCUCGUGUUUGGCAGAUGUCAGCAAGUGGACUACAGGGCAUUUUGAGAUGGGCGAAAGGGCACUAUGCACUAGGUGUGGAGAGAUGCAGGGGAGUGAGGGCUCUACCGCAGGGGCUGGUUAGGGGGACAAUCAGAGAAGCCUUCAUGGUGGAAAUCACUGUUUUGGU
rnacentral:lncRNA from 1 species